GACGAACGCUGGCGGCGAGCUUAACUCAUGCAAGUCGAACGGAAAGGCCCUGCUUUUGUGGGUUGCUCUAGUGGCGAACGUGUGUGUAACACGUUAGUAACCUGCCCUUGACUUUGGGAUAACUUCAGGAAACUGGGGCUAAUACCGGAUAGGAGCUCCUGCUGCAUGGUGGGGUUUGGAAAGUUUCGGCGGUUGGGGAUGGACUCGCGGCUUAUCAGCUUGUUGUUUGGGUAGUGGCUUACCAAGGAUUUGACGGGUAGCCGGCCUGAGAGGGUGACCGGCCACAUUGGGAAGGAGAUAGGGCCCAGACUCAUCAGGGAGGAAGCAGUGGGGAAUAUAGCACAAUGGGCGGAAGCCUGAUGCAGCAACGCAGCGUGCGGGAUGAAGGCCUUCGGGUUGUAGGCCGCUUUCGCCUGUAAUGAAGAGUGAGUGACGGUAAUGGGUAGCGGAGCAAGGGCUAGAUACGUG
rnacentral:rRNA from 1 species